UCCGAUAUGGUCUAGUGGCUAGGAUACACCGCUCUCAUACAGAGUAGUACACUUCAAAGUGCCGGUGUGGCCCGGGUUCGAUUCCCGGUGUCGGAA
rfam:Paraphaeosphaeria sporulosa strain AP3s5-JAC2a unplaced genomic scaffold CC84scaffold_2, whole genome shotgun sequence.